UCACAAAUUAGGGUUUAAUUUUCCUUUUUCAUAAUAGCAGGGCUCAAUUCCCUCUCGUCAUCAUCAUCUCUACAAAAUAAUUCGGCGCAAUCCGAACAAUAAAGGUGAUGCACAUCCAUCGCAAGAUAAAUCCUCCACCAGUGCAAAGGUCUGGUGAGCUGUAUGAUAGCAUUGAGGAGAAGCUAUAACCAUUGAAGAAUAUUUGCAGCACUGAAUCCAGUUGGAUUGAAACGAAA